CUCUAACUUUAUUCCCACAGUGAAAGAAAAGAUCGGUAACUCUUUCAUUCUCUUCUCUCCGUGGAAUCUAUGAGCAUGGAAGCUCUCUCUACUUCAUCACACAUCUCCAAUUUACCCCAGAUCAAGCCUCUUUUGAAAUCCUCGCUACCUUCUUCCCAGUCUCCGUGUUGGUUAUGUAAUCCGCGAAUCCCCAAUCUGAGAAUCAGCGAUGGAUCAAGCCACGUGGGGCUUCGUAUACAAGCUCUCUCACAUAACAACGACACACCAAGUGAUGAAGGUGAUAUCUUCUCUCUGUCACAGGUACAUACUCUGUUUUGAUUCUCAUGGAAAGUUCAGUUUUUUUGGUUGUGGGUUAGCUUAAAGAUGCAUACUUUGUCAUUGAUACGAAUCUCAGACUUCUUGUUAUGUUGUUGUGAAGGAAAAGAUUGAGACUUUACUUUCUCAUAGUAGUGUAAUGAUCGAUGUGCAGACAUCUCUUGCACUUCCUCAGGGCUGUGCUGCUGGUAAUAGUGGAGGAAAUCGAGCUGUUCUUUAUAGAACUCCGAUAUCUGGUGGAGUUCAGAAUGCAACAUCAGCUCAUGCCUUGCCUCCGCCUGCUUUGGCUGUACGGAACUUGCUUGAGCAGGUAUAAAGAUUCCUCCUUUUAAGGUCACCUUCUUCUUGUUUCUUACUUGGAGGGAUGAGAAAGUUGAUUGGUGUUGGUUUGUCGGUUAAAUUAUUGAAGGCUAGGUUUGCUCAUCUAUGCACAGUCAUGUCUAAGAUGCACCAUCGCAGGGAAGGUUACCCUUUUGGCUCUUUGGUGGAUUUUGCAUCUGAUCGGAUGGGGCGUAAGUUACUUUGUCUUUCUUGUUUUUUUCAAUUGCUCAUAACUCUGCAGCUGCUUCUUUCUUUUUAUGCUGAGUCUUGGGGUUGAGAUUAUAGUGCACAUUGUCUUGAAUGGCUUAUUACUUCUUGUUUCCCCAGAUCCAAUAUUUUUAUUCUUAAAAGACAAAAAUAUUUUCUCUUUUGAUAUAUAUAAUAAUGUUGUUUCAAACCCUACGCUGGAAAGUCCUUAUUCCACCAAUAAGCUCUAACUUUAUUCCCACAGUGAAAGAAAAGAUCGGUAACUCUUUCAUUCUCUUCUCUCCGUGGAAUCUAUGAGCAUGGAAGCUCUCUCUACUUCAUCACACAUCUCCAAUUUACCCCAGAUCAAGCCUCUUUUGAAAUCCUCGCUACCUUCUUCCCAGUCUCCGUGUUGGUUAUGUAAUCCGCGAAUCCCCAAUCUGAGAAUCAGCGAUGGAUCAAGCCACGUGGGGCUUCGUAUACAAGCUCUCUCACAUAACAACGACACACCAAGUGAUGAAGGUGAUAUCUUCUCUCUGUC
rnacentral:lncRNA from 1 species